UAGGUGUUCUGUGUGUGUAAUGCCAGGGGGUAGUGGAUGCCAUAGGUGUUCUGUGUGUGUAAUGCUGUGGCAGUGGAUGCCAUAGGUGUUCUGUGUGUGUAAUGCCAGGGGGCAGUGGAUGCCAUAGGUGUUCUGUGUGUGUAAUGCCAGGGGGUAGUGGAUGCCAUAGGUGUUCUGUGUGUGUAAUGCUGUGGCAGUGGAUGCCAUAGGUGUUCUGUGUGUGUAAUGCCAGGGGGUAGUGGAUGCCAUAGGUGUUCUGUGUGUGUAAUGCCAGGGGGUAGUGGAUGCCAUAGGUGUUCUGUGUGUGUAAUGCCAGGGGGCAGUGGAUGCCAUAGGUGUUCUGUGUGUGUAAUGCCAGGGGGCAGUGGAUGCCAUAGGUGUUCUGUGUGUGUAAUGCCAGGGGGCAGUGGAUGCCAUAGGUGUUCUGUGUGUGUAAUGCCAGGGGGCAGUGGAUGCCAUAGGUGUUCUGUGUGUGUAAUGCCAGGGGGCAGUGGAUGCCAUAGGUGUUCUGUGUGUGUAAUGCCAGGGGGCAGUGGAUGCCAUAGGUGUUCUGUGUGUGUAAUGCCAGGGGGCAGUGGAUGCCAUAGGUGUUCUGUGUGUGUAAUGCCAGGGGGCAGUGGAUGCCAUAGGUGUUCUGUGUGUGUAAUGCCAGGGGGUAGUGGAUGCCAUAGGUGUUCUGUGUGUGUAAUGCCAGGGGGCAGUGGAUGCCAUAGGUGUUCUGUGUGUGUAAUGCCAGGGGGUAGUGGAUGCCAUAGGUGUUCUGUGUGUGUAAUGCCAGGGGGUAGUGGAUGCCAUAGGUGUUCUGUGUGUGUAAUGCCAGGGGGCAGUGGAUGCCAUAGGUGUUCUGUGUGUGUAAUGGCAGGGUGUGUAGUGUCACUUUAGGGACGACAUGUCAGUUUGGAGACAAUGUCACCCCUAAAGUUCCAGCCUUUACCCUCCAUGUAAGGCACUGGGCCGUUGUGGGCACACAUGCAUGGAUGGAUAUGUUUCUGAGGGGAUAGAUAGCCUAUAGAUAGAUAUUCCUUACGUCUCUUCAGGGGGAAAGUCGUUAACACUGACAAGUCCACUCCGAGACGACCCUGGAGUCGACACCAUGCAAAGUUGGUGACAAAUCUCUUUCUCCUAUCACUUCG